GAUGAAGAACGUAGCGAAAUGCGAUAAGUAGUGUGAAUUGCAGAAUUUAGUGGAUCAUCGAAUCUUUGAACGCACAUUGCGCCCUUUGGUAUUCCUUAGGGCAUGCCUGUUCGAGCGUCAUCUACACCCUCAAGCACAGCUUGGUGAUGGGCGCCUGUCCCGCCCCCCACGGGGGCGCGGACUCGCCUCAAAUGCAUUGGCGGCCGGCGACCUGGCUUCGAGCGCAGCAGAAACGCGUACUCGGGGACCGGGCGCCCGCUCCCAGAAGCCAACCCACCCAGUUUGACCUCGGAUCAGGUAGGGAUACCCGCUGAACUUAAGCAUAUCAAUAAGCGGAGGA
rnacentral:misc_RNA from 1 species